UACAGAGGGGGCAAGCGUUGUUCGGAAUUACUGGGCGUAAAGGGCGCGUAGGUGGCCUUCUAAGUUGAACGUGAAAUCCCUGGGCUCAACCCAGGAACUGCGUCCAAGACUGGGAGGCUUGAAUCCGGGAGAGGGAUGCGGAAUUCCAGGUGUAGCGGUGAAAUGCGUAGAUAUCUGGAGGAACACCGGUGGCGAAGGCGGCAUCCUGGACCAACACUGACACUGAGGAGCGAAAGCCAGGGGAGCAAACGGG
rnacentral:rRNA from 1 species